ensembl:snRNA U2 U2 spliceosomal RNA
AUCGCUUCUUGGCAUUUUGGCUGAGAUCAAGUGUAGUAUCAGCAGAGUGAAGAACUAAAUUGUUCUUAGCUACUAGGUGUCCUUUUAGAUAUGAAAUAGAGGCACUCUGGUUUCCCAGCUACCUUCUUCCUGAUUUAAUUUCUAUUAUCAUGGUUCAUAGGUUAUAUACA